AGAAUCAACGCUGGCGGCGUGCCUAACACAUGCAAGUCGAACGAGAAAGUGGAGCAAUCCAUGAGUAAAGUGGCGACCGGGUGAGUAACACGUGACUAACCUACCUCCGAGUGGGGAAUAACUCCGGGAAACCGGGGCUAAUACCGCAUAACAUCGCAAGAUCAAAGCAGCAAUGCGCUUGGAGAGGGGGUCGCGGCUGAUUAGCUAGUUGGCGGGGUAACGGCCCACCAAGGCGAAGAUCGGUAUCCGGCCUGAGAGGGCGCACGGACACACUGGAACUGAAACACGGUCCAGACUCCUACGGGAGGCAGCAGUGGGGAAUUUUGCGCAAUGGGGGGAAACCCUGACGCAGCAACGCCGCGUGGAGGAUGAAGUCCCUUGGGACGUAAACUCCUUUCGACCAAGACGAUAAUGACGGUACUGGUGGAAGAAGCACCGGCUAACUCUGCGCCAGCAGCCGC
rnacentral:rRNA from 1 species